rnacentral:rRNA from 1 species
UACGUAGGGUGCAAGCGUUAAUCGGAAUUACUGGGCGUAAAGCGUGCGCAGGCGGUUAUGUAAGUCAGGUGUGAAAUCCCCGGGCUUAACCUGGGAACUGCAUUGGUGACUGGCAGGCUUUGAGUGUGGCAGAGGGAGGUAGAAUUCCACGUGUAGCAGUGAAAUGCGUAGAGAUGUGGAGGAAUACCGAUGGCGAAGGCAGCCUCCUGGGCCAACACUGACGCUCAUGCACGAAAGCGUGGGGAGCAAACAGG